rnacentral:rRNA from 1 species
AUUGAACGCUGGCGGCAGGCCUAACACAUGCAAGUCGAGCGGAUGAAGGGAGUUUGCUCCUGGAUUCAGCGGCGGACGGGUGAGUAAUGCCUAGGAAUCUGCCUGGUAGUGGGGGAUAACGUCCGGAAACGGGCGCUAAUACCGCAUACGUCCUGAGGGAGAAAGUGGGGGAUCUUCGGACCUCACGCUAUCAGAUGAGCCUAGGUCGGAUUAGCUAGUUGGUGGGGUAAAGGCCUACCAAGGCGACGAUCCGUAACUGGUCUGAGAGGAUGAUCAGUCACACUGGAACUGAGACACGGUCCAGACUCCUACGGGAGGCAGCAGUGGGGAAUAUUGGACAAUGGGCGAAAGCCUGAUCCAGCCAUGCCGCGUGUGUGAAGAAGGUCUUCGGAUUGUAAAGCACUUUAAGUUGGGAGGAAGAGCAGUAAGUUAAUACCUUGCUGUUUUGACGUUACCAACAGAAUAAGCACCGGCUAACUACGUG